UAUAGGAAGCCUUCGGGUGGAAUAGAUGUAGACUUAGUGGCGGACGGGUGAGUAACGCGUGAGCAACCUGCCCAUAAGAGGGGGACAACAGUUGGAAACGACUGCUAAUACCGCAUAAGACCACGCUAUCGCAUGAUAGAGGGGUCAAAGAAAUAUCGCUUAUGGAUGGGCUCGCGUCCCAUUAGGUAGUUGGUGAGGUAACGGCCCACCAAGCCGACGAUGGGUAGCCGACCUGAGAGGGUGACCGGCCACAUUGGGACUGAGACACGGCCCAAACUCC
rnacentral:rRNA from 1 species